rnacentral:rRNA from 1 species
UACGUAGGGUGCAAGCGUUAAUCGGAAUUACUGGGCGUAAAGCGUGCGCAGGCGGUUUUGUAAGUCUGUCGUGAAAUCCCCGGGCUCAACCUGGGAAUGGCAUUGGUGACUGCACGGCUAGAGUGUGUCAGAGGGGGGUAGAAUUCCACGUGUAGCAGUGAAAUGCGUAGAGAUGUGGAGGAAUACCGAUGGCGAAGGCAGCCCCCUGGGAUAACACUGACGCUCAUGCACGAAAGCGUGGGGAGCAAACAGG